rnacentral:lncRNA from 1 species
UUUCUCCUUUGCCUAGAUAUUCCAUCCACCUGACAGGUGUGGCAUAUCAAGAAGCUGAUUAAACAGCAUGAUCAUUACACAGGUGCACCUUGUGCUGGGGACAAUAAAAAGCCACCCUAAAAUGUGCAGUUUUGUCACACAACACCACAGAUGUCUCAAGUUUUGAGGAAGAGCGAAAUUGGUAUUAUGACUGCAGGAAUGUCCACCAGAGCUGUUGCCAGCUGUGAACCUCCACAUCCAGAUUUUUCUCCUUCGGGAUCGAUUGAGUACAGCCACCCAGACAGCUGAUGAAACUGCCUGAUUGGUGGAGUGCUGCAGAGAUGGUUGUCCUUCUGGAAGGUUCUCCCAUCUCCACAGAGGAACUCUGGAGCUCUAUGAACACACAUCCUCCGCUGCACCUUGGUCUCAUUACGACAAUAGCCAUUACAGAAUCACCCACCAAAAAACGGACCAAGCAGCGGAGGAAGGAGAAGCACCAGGAGAGGAGCUAUCGGGAAUCGUGGACAUGGGAGGAAUUACUGGACAGUAAAGGACCAUGGGCUCAGGCUGGGGAGUAUCGCCGCCCACAGUGGGAGAUCGAGGCGGCGAUAGCUGAGAGGCACUGGUAUGAGGCAAGGGAGCGCAACAGGCACGAGAGCAGCCCCAAAAAAACACGGGGAGUGUGGCAGAGUCAGGUUGGAGACCUGAGCCAACUCCCCGUGCUUACAGGAGGCAGCGCAGUACUGGUCAGGCACCGUGUUAUGCGGUAAAGCGCACGGUGUCCCCAGUACGCGUAGAUAGCCUGGAGCGCUACAUGCCAGCCCCCCGCAAGUGCCAUGCGAGAGUGGGCAUCGAGCCAGGUCGGAGUGUUCCAGCUCAGCGCAUCUGGUCUCCGGUGCGCUGUCUCAGUUCAGGCUAUCCUGCACCGGCGCUGCGCACUGUGUCUCCGGGGCGCUGGGAGGGCACAGUUCGGCCUAUGCCUGCGCACCGCCCGUGCCGGGCAAAAGUGGGUAUUCAGCCUGGAGUUUGGGUGGCAAGCCUACGCACCAGAACUCCAGUGCUCCCCCACAGCCCGGUUUAUCCUGUGCCUCCUCCUCGGACCAGGCCUCCAGUGGGUCUCUCCAGCCUGGUUUAUCCUGUGCCUCCUCCCAGGACCAGGCCUCCAGUGGGUCUCUCCAGCCUGGUCUAUCCUGUGCCUCCUCCCAGGACCAGGCCUCCAGGGGGUCUCUCCAGCCUGGUUUAUCCUGUGCCUCCUCCCAGG